rnacentral:rRNA from 1 species
GACGAACGCUGGCGGCGUGCUUAACACAUGCAAGUCGAACGGUGAAGCGCCUUCCUUUUUGGUGGGUGUGGAUGAGUGGCGAACGGGUGAGUAACACGUGAGUAACCUGCCCCCUUCUUCUGGAUAACCGCAUGAAAGUGUGGCUAAUACGGGAUAUUCUGGGUCUGUCGCAUGAUGGGUCUGGGAAAGAUAUUGUUUCGGUGGGGGAUGGGCUCGCGGCCUAUCAGCUUGUUGGUGGGGUGAUGGCCUACCAAGGCGGUGACGGGUAGCCGGCCUGAGAGGGUGGACGGGCACACUGGGACUGAGACACGGCCCAGACGCGUACGGGAGGCAGCAGUGGGGAAUAUUGGACAAUGGGCGCAAGCAUGAUGCAGCGACGCCGCGUGAGUGAUGGAGGCCUUCGGGUUGUGAACCUCUUUCGCCAGUGAAGCAGGCCUGCCUCGUUUGUGGGUGGGUUGACGGUAGCUGGAUAAGAAGCGCCGGCUAACUACGUG